AGCCAUCCGUGCUAAUCGGAGGUGCGGGGGAAGGGCAAGAAUCGAAACACACACAAAAACAUUGAAACAUUUCCAGGCUGCAUCGACAAAAGCACUGGUCGUGGUGGUGGUGAUCUGCAUUAUCCAGGCCUAAAUGGGUGCUCACUGAAUGCAUUCGCUCUUGCACACUCUGUAAUUCUUGGUUGUGCUUCUUUGUCCUUGUUGAUUUUAAUAUAAUAGUGAAUGGAUUUAGCAAUUUGCAUACACAUUAAUUAUGAAAGUUAUUCCACUCAAGUGAACGCAGCGCAUUGAUUAAGAAUUAAGUGAAUUUAAAUUUGGCAAGAAUUUGUCUCAUUUCAAACAUCUGCUUGCGUUUAAUUGCAAAGCCCCGAGUAAUACAGCAGAUGUUCAUUUUGCAGGUAAAAAGCAGGUGGUGGAUACAUGUUUUAUGAUAUUAUGAAGCUGUGUGGACAUGAUGUAGCUCAUUGUGUGGAGCAACGCAGCCCUCAUUUGUGAACGCAUGGGUUCAAAUCCCCCGCCUAGACAAUCAUCACAAUCACAAUUCCACCAGGAUGGACAAAAUGAGGCACCGCCUUUUGAGGCUGCACUGCUUGGAGUAGUUUGUUGACAGUGGGAAAUGUUGUGUUAGUUACGGACAUACCUGGGCCCGUCAUAGGAAUGUGAAAUUCACACAGCUUGCUCAGACCUGAUUACGGGACAUUAGCAAUCCUCGAUUGUUCUUUUGCUUCUUAUUGUUCUGACAAAGCUGUAAUGCAUUCAGAGUGAAAUCACAGGAGGAUCACAGCAUGAAGGUUGAAUGCCUAAUCAUAUUAAAAUAUUUGCAUCAAAGUUGCAGCACUUAAUUAAUUAAUCACUAAAUUCCAUCACGCUUCGUCUUUCAGAGCCAACAUGAAGUAUAUUCCCAGGUCUGCCUUACAAAAUAGAUUUGUGCUUUAUUUUGGCAUUAAGCAACUCUUAACACUGACAUUAGUUUUGGUUUGCAGAACACAGUGGUAGAAUUCUUGCUUAAAAUCUGUGCUCAUUGAAACCGGCGAAUCGCUCGUAUUCGCUGUGUUCCCACUGCAUUUCCAGCACCAUGCGACAACAUGGAUCCUUCCUCAGCCAGUCCCCAUCCGUACCAUCUUCACCCUUUGAUCCAAAGCCAUAUCUAGACAGUUAUCCGGGUAACUAAUCCUUGUAUUUACGUGAAGCUCAGCACCUCCAGUAAUAACACUGCCUUAAAAUAUGGGGGGCCACUACCUUCGAGAUAAAGGGCCAUUGCCCAAAGCGUCGUAUUAUUGUACAUUUUUCACUUUUAACGCCAGAGGUUUAUUGACGAAACAGUUAAGACUUCUCCACAAAUCUGGCUGUCGCCUGAUGAAGCUAGUUGUAAUUACUGGCGAAACGUCGUACUCAGAUUGUAAAUGUUGUGGCUUGGCUCUCCAACACACCGGUGUGCUGUACUAGUUACAAAUUGGAAUGUUCUUUUUGCAUGACAACCCUUGCUAGUUGGCUGUGUCGGGUGGUGGCGGGUUUUAACGACGCAUUUAUAUAUUUACGCGAUCUAACCCAAAAAAACUUCUUAUGGAUGAUAUUGGCCGCAAAAGCCUGCUUCGUGUUAAACGGACCGUGUUGAGUUUAUUUUGUUAGUCUUGGUAGGUGACUUAAUUCAAUAACAGUGUUUGCGCAUCCCCACUUUCUCUUUUCCUGCUUUUAUUCCCAUUCAUUCUAUUUGUUGAAAGAAACCGAGUUACCUGGCGGAGAUCGGCCCUCUACUGUGUUUUGGAAUCUAUAAAUCUCAAGACAGUCAUUAGAGAUGACGCAACUCAGUGACCACAGAAUUGGACGUUUAGUUUAUUGCAUUGUUCUCAUAAAGAUGUUUAAAUGUACUUUUUAUAGAGUGAAAAUACUGUAAUCUGCAUCGAUGUGGGGGAUGCUAUUUCCAUAUCCUCUAAUUCACCGUAAAAAACUCCUAAAUUCCACUUAAAUUAAUGUGCUCCUGAUGCUCCAUAGAGCAUUUUCAAGUCCCAGUGACUCACUGCAUGGCAGUCCUGCCAAUGCUGGCGAUUCUGGAAAUAUUCUGAAGUGCACCACUUAGGUUUGCUGGUGUCGUUUCCACUCCGGAGUGAUUUUUUAUUGGAAACGCUGUCAUGGAAUGUACUCCUCCUUGAAGGUGGAUGGAAGCUCAAUGAAUGACACCUGGUGAGUCUAGGGGCAGAUCUCAGAUCUGGCGGUGCCAUUUUGAUGUUACGUAACGGUUCCCCUGGCGUAACGUCUCGCAAUGUUAGUCCAUGUGGCGGCACUUCCUGUGAUGCAACAACUUCGUGGUACAUGCAACAACACAAGGGUGGCGGUCAGGCCAUGAACUGGAUGUGAAGCGACAGGCAUUGCUUUUGGCCAUCGGCAAGGACGCACUUUUAUCACACCUCCUCCAUAAACUAGCGGUGUAUGGAUUCACCCCCCCCCCCCCACACCCUCCCCGCUGAUUUGACAAAUUGCCAGAAUUCAGGGCCACGAUUCAUUUCAAGAAUUGAUUUUUAUUUUUACAUCGCAGUGAAUGCUGGUACUGUACCUCCAAGUAGCCGUAGAGGUCACGUGAACCCAAAGCAUACAACAUACACAAAUAAAAAAAUAUAUAGAUUCUUCGUGCACACAAUUUGAUUGAUGUAUCACGAGGUUACGAAUUCUCAUUAAUCAAUGGAACGAUCCUUCGUCACACCCCUGCACACAAAUACGUGUGUUUGUGAGAGAUGCUGUGCAGGACACAAAUCGAGAGAAGGUUUUGACAAACAAUGACAUUGUUGUCGUUGCACGAAUCGAUCUACAACUCGGAAAGGCUACGAAUACGCAGCGAUUGAUUUAUCGAUUCAAAUCAAAUGUAUGGACUUGUGUGGUGGCUCGGUGGCUGAGGGGUCAGGCUCGAUGAGCUGGCACCGCUGAGGUCUGUGGAGAUCACAAGCCCAGGCGAUGGCAGCCCGUGGUUGAAGCGGCUUCUCAGGUGGAGUGAGGAUCAGCGAUGGGCUGUGCCCCGUCACUGAUAACCCGUGUGCACACACAAAAAAAAAACACCGUACCUACACUUUCAUUUUUGUUGCUUUAAUUUGCCUUAUUCCAGCUCUGAGACUUCAUCAUUUGGUUCACGUUUCGUAUAUGCCGUGAACACUUUUUUUUGCAGGGCAUUAAAAAGGUUGAAGUUCUAAGUUCGAGUUGAUUUUGUGUAAUCAAGAGACCAGGAUAGAGUCUAAUUUGCAAUCGUGACCUGGGUCACGGAAUUGAUGAAAGCAAGAUAAAUUAAUUAAAGUAUAGCACAGAAGCAAGUAGAAAUAUGCGUCGAGUGUGGAUGAAGAUGCCUGUUGAAGUGACGUCAGAAGUAGGUCCGUGACAUCAUCUUCACUGCAGAAUUUCUGAUUACAUUUAAAAAAAGAAUCUAAUCAUACGAUGCUGAACGCUCAAUUGGAAUAUAAUUUGGGAGGGAAGCAGCUAAAAGCAAACAAGAGAUUGCAUUGGCAGUGAUGUACAAGCACACAACAAACGCAUGAUAAUGUAUGAGGAAAUUUCACUUCAACAGAUUCAAACAUUUUGGGCAAUUACCAUUUUACACAGCGGCUAUGAAUUUAUAUAUAUAUUUUCUUCAGUCAUAAAACCGUGUUAAUGGCGAUGGGGUUCGUGUGUUUUUUUUAACGAGUGGUUAAUUAGUGGUCAAUUGAUUGAUUGAUGAACGCGGAUUGCGAUGUUUUGCUCGUCUCGGUGGUUGAAGUUGCCUG